AGGUAGCUCAGUUGGUUAGAGCAAAGGACUGAAAAUCCUUGUGUCGGUGGUUCAAAUCCACCUCU
rnacentral:tRNA from 1 species